rnacentral:lncRNA from 1 species
CAGGAAGUGAUGUAUGUGAGAAGUUUGCUUUUUAAAGUGUACGUGGGAUCGUUAUUACGUCGAAAUAGCUCGAGCUGUAACCUAGGAGUCUCGCUCUGUUGCCCAGGCUUGAGUGCAGUGGCACGAUCGAUCUUGGCUCACUGCAACCUCCACCUCCCGAGUUCAAGCGAUUCUCCUGCCUCACCCUCCUGAGUAGCUGGGACUACAGGCCUGCGCCACCACACCUGGCUAACUUCUGAAUAUCAAGCUGAAAUUACUAUCAGAUAUCUUGCCACCACAUAGAGGCUUUGAGUGAAGUCUGCAUGGAGGAGAACAGAGCUGAGAGAUGGAAAGAUACUGAAUCCCAGUGACGUCCUUUGAGAUGUCGGAUCAAGCUGAGCUGGGCGUGAAGAUAGAGCUACUCCUAUACUUUUAAGAUACUCUACCACUCACAGAAACUACCUUUUAGUGCAACCACGGUGGAACCCUGCCAUAGUAUCUCUAGGUAAGCAUCACUAUGCUCUUAUAAAUUUAUAUUUUCACUUCUCCAGGUCUUAAAAAGAGGACUGCUUGAAUUUUUUGUGAAUAAAUGAAUAAAGGAAAUAAUUUUAAGACGCACA